rnacentral:lncRNA from 1 species
UUUAGCUAAUUGGCCAACUUUGAAAACCCAAUAAAAAGAGAAAAGAGAAAGGGGCUGCCUGUUCCCUAUUGUAAUUGGGCACAACAUUUGCAGCGGCCCCGUUCCCAGUCCGUUAACCCACCUGGUCCAGACUUUCCCCAAUACCAAACAACCCCGUUUUGUCCCGGAUUAAUCCCCACCCUUCAUCUCACUUGAUCCAGUGAUAGAGAACUAAUCUUGUGUUUCCCUUGUAACUGUCCGAAACGACCACCCCAACCCCCAUAACCCUUCUCAGAUCAUCCCCCUUUCCCUUCUCUCACCCUCCGCCACACGCCAUCGCCGGAAUUCGCCCUCGGCAGCGGCCAACCUCCAACUAGCCCCAAAUUACCCCCAGAUAUUCCUUGCUUUCUCCACAUGACCAUCCCACAUUUAGCUUCUUCCAAAACCUCAAUGAAACCCUCGAAUUGUAGAUCUAGGAACUGAACCCUAGCCGCCACUCGGUUCUUCUUCAUUUCCUCGAUCGAUCUGUCCUCUUUACGGUUGAGACUUACAUCAGUAGAAAGCUGUUGAUGAGAACUAUCCAUUGAUGUAAGAUUCACUCCGUUUCUCGGAGGUCGGAUAUUGGUCAACCAGCCGUUGACCGGCCAGAACUUUUUCUGAGGCUACCUCUUUUGCUUCAUCUCGAGAUCAAAUGGGUAUAACUCAUUCCCUUUCUUCUUUUCUUAUUUCAUUUUUGUGUGUAUUUGUUCUGUUAAAUACAGUGGUGCCAAUCAUGUUUCAGAUUGAUUAAGUGUUAAUUGCAGGUAUUUUUAUUAGUUGAUAAAUGAGCAUAAAAAUUCAAUUACGCGUAUCUUGAUUACUUUGUUUAGCAUGAACUCUUGUUUGAUUAAAAUUGACUUGUCUAUUUGAUUCGUCGUUCAUUUUUCUUUCUGUUUUCGUUUUGUUUAUUUGAGCCUGUUUUUUUUGGGGAUUUGGAUAAAAAGAAAUCUAAAAAGGAAAAGUAAUAAGAACCGGGGGCAAAAAGUGUAAUUAUAGAAGUGGUGUCUUCUAUGCUAAGUUUGGUGUUGUUCCACUGCUGAUUUGUAUAUUAUGACUGUUAAAUAAGAAUUUAAUUAAAAAAAUGCAACCGAAUAUAAAGAAAUAAACUCACAUAGAAAUCAAUGUGUUAUUAUAUAGUAUAUAUACAUAUUUUAAAAAAAUUAUCGAGCUAAACAGUGUAAUUUUCGACGAAGGGGUGUCGGUACACCUCUUGGGUGCAUGUGGUUCCGCCACUGGGUGUGUAGUAAUGGGUGAUAAGAGGAGGCUGUUAUUGUCUUGUGUGGGUGUGACUUACCGAUUUAAUCAUUAAUUGGCCAGGUUGUUAAAUUUGAAGCCAAAAAGUGGGAUUAAACACCCUGAUGACGGGCAGGCUUGAAUUAAGAGCUGGGCAUCUUCUGUUUAUGUUUGGAUAUUGUUAUAAAUAAAAUGUAAUUAUAGUAAAACUACUCAUUCCUUGUUGAUUUCGUUAAGGAUUGUAAUUAAGAGGCUUAGUUGUAAAUUCUAGGAUUUUAGUAAAUUCAAAUGCAAGCUUUGGAGAUGAUUGCUUAUUCGCAGUUAGUUUUCUGAUAGCAUGAAGAUCUGGAUAAGGAUAGAAACUCAUUCUAAUCACAAUAUUCGAGUCAUUAUUAUGAUUGUUAAAUUUUGGCUAUUUUGCCAUUCGAAUGCAUAUAUAAACACAAUCACGAUUCUCUUCUGUUGGUAAUUAACGCCAAUUCCUGUUUGCGUAGAACUAGAAAUGAAUCUGGCAAAAGUCAGUAGUGGCUAGUAUCUAUAAUUAUUGGCCAUAAUCGUAACUGUAAUGGUGGCCUUACUUAGGGCCUGACUUUGGGCCUAAAAUUCAAAGGUUACAGAACCCAACACUCGUCCAUCACGUCCAACACUCGUUCAAACUCUCC